GCUCGAGACCCUGCCUCAAAAAAAAAAAAGUCUCGCUCGAGAUCUAGAUCGAGGGCUCUGUCGCCGGGAGGCGCCGGCGCCGGCGCCUAGGGUGAGCCAACGGCGUUCGCGAAGGCAACGUGGUGAGGCGCCGACGGCGUUGACCACGACAGGGGUUAGGCGCGACGACGACGGCGAUUCGCUCCUGACCUCGACGGCGACUCGCUCAUGGCCGCGACGACGACUUUGACCGGCAGUCCUGACCUGACCGGGACGGCGAAUCGCUCCUUCUCCUCCAAGCUGCCUCCUCUGCUCCACAAAGGGAACAGUGUUGCUGAUCAUUUCUGGCUGAAUUCCGAGAAAUCCUUGAUUUCUUCUGGCCAUACAUAUAUCAUGUCAGCCUACCAUAUCCUUUAUUGUGACAAAAUAUUCUGGACAUGUGCAUUAUUAUCCACAAUAGACUUGUGUUGAGAACAAGAAGUUCUUGGAGCUAUCAUUUUUGCAUUCAAAAUCAUAAUUCAUGGGAACCUGCUGCUGUCUAGAACUUCCAUUCCUAUUUGAAGAUGUUUAUAUUGCUGCCAUGUUGUUUCUUCAUCGGUUUUUCUUCAAAAAUGACAUAGUUACUUUAAACUUGAGGAAAUUGUUGCUGAGUACAUGCCAAACCAAAGUGAUCAUGAGAUAGGACGGUGUAUAUGCUCAAGUUGCUAAUGAUGAACCAAAGUGGUCAUUACAUAGCUAAUGUUUUUCUUUUUUAUUGUGCAAUUUGUGUGGAAGUGCAUGUGUAACUCCAAAUUCUUUGUGAAUGUUGUUCCUCUUUAUUGUUACAGCGUGGCAGAAAAACAACAUUCCAAUCAGGCCCUUAUAGUUUUUGGUUUUGCGUCUUGCACAUGCAAGUGGCUGGACUGACCGGACCCAAAUGAACAAUCAGAACGAGUCCAGGCAAGAGUAGUUAGGGCAGCUCCAACGACUUUGAUGACUGGAGACUUUGGCGAUCCAACACCAUGGAUCAAACGUCCGUGGCGUGGUCCGGACGUUCACAGUCUUACAAACCGGAAGCAAAGCUGGAGGAAGUUUGUAGGCGUGCAGACAUCCACCAUGUAGGCCUUCAACACCCUCGGCCCACGAAAACCUUCUCCCUCUCGUUGCAUAGAUCGCUGAUGAGCGGGCUGUCACGGUCAUGCUCGCAGAGAAACCGAGCUUCAUGGGUGAGCAGCCAGCGUUGUACGAGUCCAUGCACAGUGCCUGCACCAUCAGUCUUGACUCUUGAGUGGUGGUAGCUCUAUGUCAACAAGGCUGAUGGACGAGAAUGCUGCCAACGUCGGUCGCUCCGUGUUGUUUGCGCCAGGCCACAACAACUACGAGGCCGGAUUGUUGACUCCACCUCCAUUGGCGGCGUCGACUACCAGGCGGCGAACUCAAACGAGUAGGACGUGAAACACAGACAUGCCCAGGUCCGGCGAAGAGUAGACUACGGUCGGCUACUUUUGCUAUGAAUUCUUUUUCUAAUAUUGACGAAAUGUCGUGUAUGCCAUUAUUUGGUUCGGAUUGGAUGACCGGCUUUCCUAAUUUCAUCCUCUUGGUUGUAAAUAUUAUCUGGUUCACAUGAAUUUCAUUUGUCUUUUUA